AUAAGGAAUCACAGGCACAGAGUUAAAAGUAUGUUGAAGAAUGUUACAAAAUGGGUCAGAGACCCAGGAUCCAAACAUAAGAAUUCUGUCUUCAUCCAAGUUCAUACAAACAUUACAAUCUCAUUUAAGAAUAUUUUUUAGGAGGGAGGUGAGGCAAGAUGGCAGAACAGAAAACUCCACAGAUCGUUCCUCUAACCCUACCGCAAGGACACUAAGUUAACAAACAACUACACAGAAAAAACCAUCUUCAUAAGAGCUAAAAGUCAUGUGAGCACUCACAGAACCUGGUUUUAACCUCAUAUCACUGAAAGAGACACUGAAAAGAUAGAAAAACUGAGUCUCUGACACCACCCGUCCCUGACCCCAGCAGCAUGGCUUGGUGCCAAGAGCAUCUCUGGGUGCUGGUGAAGGCAGAACAGAGCAAUUGUGAGGCACUGAACCUGGUGCCAUCUUGUUAUAGCAUAAAGGAAAACCUGACCAAACUAAGCUGAUGUCUACCCACAAGAAG
rnacentral:lncRNA from 1 species